rnacentral:lncRNA from 1 species
UAACUGUACAUAAACUUGACAUGGAGAUAAGCUGAGACCUCAUGGCAGAAAUCUCAUUUGAAACAACUGGAAAUUACUUCAGCUUGGCUCAAGCCACAGCACAACAGAUACCUUCUCCUCCUCCAGCCCUGCUGUGAGUCAAAGGCAUUUUCUGGGCUGCCACUUUCCUGUGCUGAAUGACCUUGAGCCUCUUCAUGUUGCCCCGUCUUUGCUUGGCUCAGCAUGUGCAUCCCUUGCUCUUUAUAAAUACGCCUGCGUGCUCGCCUUUGCUGACUUCCUUCUUCUCCACAGCUGAAGGAACUCCUGAAGAUGCUUGGAAGAAUUUGUUGCAUUUCUGGCCCCAGAGGCUGUUAUGGAGAACACCAGAUGAAAUGAUUGUAAAGAGCCAGAGAACCUUUGAAAUGAUGUUGCUCAAAGAUUCCCCAGCAUUGUCACAAGCUAAGCAAAUAAGGGAUGAGGAGACCAGGAGAUGUGGCUAUAAAGGACAGAAGGAAAUGAGAAGAGACAUAAGCUGAUGGAAGGAAAAUAGCACAAGGGGCAGAACAAGUAGCAGGGACUCACUCACACCUCGUAGGCUGGCUUUGGGGUCAGACUGCUUUUGGGUACCGUCAGUCACCACCAUCUGGUCACUUUGCCUCUUAGUAACUGAACAAUGAAGGCUCAGAGAAAUGCCUGAUGGUGUAGGUUGUAGGGUUUGGGAAGUGAUGGAGCAGGCAAACAAAAAAUAACACUUGAUCUUCUCAUGUGCUAUCCUUUCUAACCACCACUAAGCAUUGUGGACAAACAAGUCAGCAGCCACACACUGUUAACAUUAGUUACUAAAAAGUUUUUUGGGGUUUUGUGCCUGUUCUCUCUGCACAUGCUAGGUUACCUUUGUGCAUUGUGUUCAAUAAAAAAGGACCAAAUUCUGGUUCCA